rnacentral:rRNA from 1 species
CCUACGGGGUGCUGCAGUGGGGAAUAUUGGACAAUGGGCGAAAGCCUGAUCCAGCCAUGCCGCGUGUGUGAAGAAGGCCUUCGGGUUGUAAAGCACUUUCAGUGGGGAGAAAGCCUUGGGGCUAAUACCCUCGAGGAAGGACAUCACCCACAGAAGAAGCACCGGCUAACUCCGUGCCAGCAGCCGCGGUAAUACGGAGGGUGCGAGCGUUAAUCGGAAUUACUGGGCGUAAAGCGCGCGUAGGCGGUCUGAUAAGCCGGUUGUGAAAGCCCCGGGCUCAACCUGGGAACGGCAUCCGGAACUGUCAGGCUAGAGUGCAGGAGAGGAAGGUAGAAUUCCCGGUGUAGCGGUGAAAUGCGUAGAGAUCGGGAGGAAUACCAGUGGCGAAGGCGGCCUUCUGGACUGACACUGACGCUGAGGUGCGAAAGCGUGGGUAGCAAACAGGAUUAGAUACCCUAGUAGUC